AGUUUGCCCACCGGUACCGUUCAUCGUUACAACAGGGAAGCGGGUGUAAUUCCCGCACGGUCGCGCCGCCGUGAUGGUGUACAAGUUGGUUCACGCUGUUUCAGCAGCCACUGAGCGCUUUCUGCUGUGGCAGGGGGCUUGGGAAGGCGAACCAAUGCGGAUGAUGCCAGAGUCGGAAUACCUGACGGUACCUUUAUUAUUCA
rnacentral:ncRNA from 2 species